UUUUCCACUUUGCCCGUAUCGUAGCGAAACGGGCGAAGUGGAAAACCGGCUUUAGUGUUCGAUUAGGGAGAAACGGUUACUACAUCCAAGGAAGGCAGCAGGCGAGCAAAUUACCCAAUCCUAACGUGGGGAGGUGGUGACAAAA